rnacentral:rRNA from 1 species
AUUGAACGCUGGCGGCAGGCCUAACACAUGCAAGUCGAACGGUAACAGAAAGCAGCUUGCUGCUUUGCUGACGAGUGGCGGGCGGGUGAGUAAUGUCUGGGAAACUGCCUGAUGGAGGGGGAUAACUACUGGAAACGGUAGCUAAUACCGCAUAACGUCGCAAGACCAAAGAGGGUGACAUUCCGGCCUCUUGCCAUCGGAUGUGCCCAGAUGGGUUUAGCUAGUAGGUGGGGCAACGGCUCACCUAGGCGAAUAUCCCUAGCUGGGCUGAGAGGAUGACCAGCCACACUGGAACUGAGGCACGGUCCAGACUCCUAAGGGAGGGAGGAGGGGGGAAUAUUGGACAAUGGGGGCAAGCCUGAUGCAGCCAUGCCGGGUGGAUGAAGAAAGCCUUCGGGUUGUAAAGUACUUUCAGCGGGGAGGAAGGGAGUAAAGUUAAUACCUUUGCUCAUUGACGUUACCCGCAGAAGAAGGACCGGCUAACUCCGUG